rnacentral:miRNA from 1 species
UGGACAGUUAUGAAGAGGCA